GAUGAACGCUGGCGGCGUGCCUAAUACAUGCAAGUCGAGCGAACGGACGAGAAGCUUGCUUCUCUGAUGUUAGCGGCGGACGGGUGAGUAACACGUGGAUAACCUACCUAUAAGACUGGGAUAACUUCGGGAAACCGGAGCUAAUACCGGAUAAUAUUUUGAACCGCAUGGUUCAAAAGUGAAAGACGGUCUUGCUGUCACUUAUAGAUGGAUCCGCGCUGCAUUAGCUAGUUGGUAAGGUAACGGCUUACCAAGGCAACGAUGCAUAGCCGACCUGAGAGGGUGAUCGGCCACACUGGAACUGAGACACGGUCCAGACUCCUACGGGAGGCAGCAGUAGGGAAUCUUCCGCAAUGGGCGAAAGCCUGACGGAGCAACGCCGCGUGAGUGAUGAAGGUCUUCGGAUCGUAAAACUCUGUUAUUAGGGAAGAACAUAUGUGUAAGUAACUGUGCACAUCUUGACGGUACCUAAUCAGAAAGCCACGGCUAACUACGUGCCAGCAGCCGCGGUAAUACGUAGGUGGCAAGCGUUAUCCGGAAUUAUUGGGCGUAAAGCGCGCGUAGGCGGUUUUUUAAGUCUGAUGUGAAAGCCCACGGCUCAACCGUGGAGGGUCAUUGGAAACUGGAAAACUUGUGUGCAGAAGAGGAAAGUGGAAUUCCAUGUGUAGCGGUGAAAUGCGCAGAGAUAUGGAGGAACACCAGUGGCGAAGGCGACUUUCUGGUCUGUAACUGACGCUGAUGUGCGAAAGCGUGGGGAUCAAACAGGAUUAGAUACCCUGGUAGUCCACGCCGUAAACGAUGAGUGCUAAGUGUUAGGGGGUUUCCGCCCCUUAGUGCUGCAGCUAACGCAUUAAGCACUCCGCCUGGGGAGUACGACCGCAAGGCUGAAACUCAAAGGAAUUGACGGGGACCCGCACAAGCGGUGGAGCAUGUGGUUUAAUUCGAAGCAACGCGAAGAACCUUACCAAAUCUUGACAUCCUUUGACAACUCUAGAGAUAGAGCUUUCCCCUUCGGGGGACAAAGUGACAGGUGGUGCAUGGUUGUCGUCAGCUCGUGUCGUGAGAUGUUGGGUUAAGUCCCGCAACGAGCGCAACCCUUAAGCUUAGUUGCCAUCAUUAAGUUGGGCACUCUAAGUUGACUGCCGGUGACAAACCGGAGGAAGGUGGGGAUGACGUCAAAUCAUCAUGCCCCUUAUGAUUUGGGCUACACACGUGCUACAAUGGACAAUACAAAGGGCAGCGAAACCGCGAGGUCAAGCAAAUCCCAUAAAGUUGUUCUCAGUUCGGAUUGUAGUCUGCAACUCGACUACAUGAAGCUGGAAUCGCUAGUAAUCGUAGAUCAGCAUGCUACGGUGAAUACGUUCCCGGGUCU
rnacentral:rRNA from 1 species